AACGUAGGUGGCGAGCGUUAUCCGGAAUUACUGGGCGUAAAGCGUGUGCAGGCGGGCUGACAAGUGGUGGGUGAAAUAUCCCGGCUUAACCGGGAGGGGUUAUGCCAGACUGUCAGUCUUGAGUGCGAGAGAGGAGAGUGGAAUUCCUGGUGUAGCGGUGAAAUGCGCAGAUAUCAGGAGGAACACCGGUGGCGAAGGCGGGUCUCUGGGCCGAUACUGACGCUGAGGAGCGAAAGCGUGGGGAGCGAACAGG
rnacentral:rRNA from 1 species